UACGUAGGGUGCAAGCGUUAAUCGGAAUUACUGGGCGUAAAGCGUGCGCAGGCGGUUGUGUAAGACAGAUGUGAAAAUCCCCGGGCUCAACCUGGGAACUGCAUUUUGUGACUGCACAGCUGGAGUGCGGCAGAGGGGGGGAUGGAAUUCCGCGUGUAGCAGUGAAAAUGCGUAGAUAUGCGGAGGAACACCGAUGGCGAAG
rnacentral:rRNA from 1 species